GUGGGGAAUAUUGGACAAUGGGCGAAAGCCUGAUCCAGCCAUGCCGCGUGUGUGAAGAAGGUCUUCGGAUUGUAAAGCACUUUAAGUUGGGAGGAAGGGCAGUAAGUUAAUACCUUGCUGUUUUGACGUUACCGACAGAAUAAGCACCGGCUAACUUCGUGCCAGCAGCCGCGGUAAUACGAAGGGUGCAAGCGUUAAUCGGAAUUACUGGGCGUAAAGCGCGCGUAGGUGGUUUUGUAAGUUGGAGGUGAAAUCCACGGGCUCAACCUGGGAACUGCCUCCAAAACUGCAUGACUAGAGUACGGUAGAGGGUGGUGGAAUUUCCUGUGUAGCGGUGAAAUGCGUAGAUAUAGGAAGGAACACCAGUGGCGAAGGCGACUACCUGGACUGAUACUGACACUGAGGUGCGAAAGCGUGGGGAGCAAACAGGAUUAGAUACCAGAGUAGUCC
rnacentral:rRNA from 1 species